AGGGUUUGAUCCUGGCUCAGAACGAACGCUGGCGGCGUGGAUUAGGCAUGCAAGUCGAGCGAGAAAGGGUUCUUCGGAACCUGAGUAAAGCGGCGAAAGGGUGAGUAACGCCUGAAUAAUCUACCCCUGAGAGAGGGAUAACGUCUGGAAACGGGUGCUAAUACCUCAUAAGACCACGAAUCCGAGCGGUUUGUGGUUAAAGAAAGCCUCUGAUUUAAGCUUUCGCUCAGGGAGGGGUUCAGGUCCUAUUAGCUUGUUGGUGAGGUAACGGCUCACCAAGGCUGGGAUGGGUAGCCGGGCUGAGAGGUUGUUCGGCCACACUGGGACUGAGACACUGCCCAGACUCCUCCGGGAGGCUGCAGUCGAGAAUCUUCCGCAAUGCGCGAAAGCGUGACGGAGCGACGCCGCGUGGAUGAUGAAGGCCUUCGGGUUGUAAAAUCCAAUCACGUGGGAAGAAACAGGGGAGGUUAAUAGUCUGCCUCUGCGACGGUACCACGGCAGAAGUGCCGGCUAAACACGUGCCAGCAGCCGCGGUAAUACGUGUGGCGCAAGCGUUGUUCGGAAUCACUGGGCAUAAUAGCGCGUAGGCGGUAAUGUAUGUCGGAUGUGAAAGCCCUUGGCUUAACCAAGGAACUGCAUUCGAAACUGCAUAACUAGAGUAUGGAAGGGGGGAGUGGAAUUCCUGGUGGAGCGGUGAAAUGCGUAGAUAUCAGGAAGAACACCGGUGGCGAAGGCGACUCUCUGGUCCAUAACUGACGCUGAGGCGCGAAAGCUAGGGUAGCGAAGAGGAUUAGAUACCCUCGUAGUCCUAGCUGUAAACGAUGGGCACUAGGUAGUGGAGGUUCCGACACUUUCACUGCUGGAGCAAAUGUAUUAAGUGCCCCGCCUGGGGAGUAUGCUCGCAAGGGUGAAACUCAAAGGAAUUGACGGGGGCUCACACAAGCGGUGGAGCAUGUUGUUUAAUUCGAUACGCGAAGAACCUUACCUGGGCUAGACUUUUAGGGAUUAACCUUGUGAAAGCAAGGGGAUUGCUCUUCGGAGUGUAACCUAAUACAGGUGCUGCAUGGUUGUCGUCAGCUCGUGUCGUGAGAUGUCGGGUUAAGUCCCAUAACGAGCGAAACCCCUGUCCUUAGUUGCCAGCGAGUAAUGUCGGGGACUCUAAGGAGACUGCCGGUGUUAAACCGUGAGGAAGGUGGGGACGACGUCAAAUCAUCAUGGCCUUUAAGUCCAGGGCUACAAACGUGCUACAAUGGUCGGUACAAUGGGACGCGAAAUCGCGAGGUGGAGCAAAUCUCAAAAAACCGGCCCCAGUUCGGAUCGGAGGCUGCAAUUCGCCUCCGUGAAGUUGGAAUCGCUAGUAACCGCGUAUCAGCCAUGACGCGGUGAAUGUGUUCCUGAGCCUUGUACACACCGCCCGUCAAGCCAUCCAAGCAGGGCACGCCCGAAAUUGCUGACCUAACCCGCAAGGGAGGGAGGUACUGAAGGUGAGCCUUGUGAGGAGGACUAAGUCGGAACAAGGUA
rnacentral:rRNA from 1 species